rnacentral:rRNA from 1 species
UACAGAGGCCCCGAGCGUUAUCCGGAAUCACUGGGCGUAAAGGGUGCGUAGGCGGUUAUGUUAGUCUUUUGUUAAAACCCCCGGCUCAACCGGGGAAAGGCAAAAGAAACGGCAUUACUUGAGGAUGUGAGAGGUGUGCGGAACUCAUAGUGUAGGGGUGAAAUCCGUUGAUAUUAUGGGGAACACCAAAUGCGAAGGCAGCACACUGGCACACUCCCUGACGCUGAGGCACGAAAGCGUGGGUAGCGAACGGGG